AUGAAAGGGUAGCUUGCUCCCGUGAUGUUAGCGGCGGACGGGUGAGUAACACGUGGGUAACCUGCCUGUAAGACUGGGAUAACUCCGGGAAACCGGAGCUAAUACCGGAUAGUUCCUUGAACCGCAUGGUUCAAGGAUGAAAGACGGUUUCGGCUGUCACUUACAGAUGGACCCGCGGCGCAUUAGCUAGUUGGUGGGGUAAUGGCUCACCAAGGCGACGAUGCGUAGCCGACCUGAGAGGGUGAUCGGCCACACUGGGACUGAGACACGGCCCAGACUCCUACGGGAGGCAGCAGUAGGGAAUCUUCCGCAAUGGACGAAAGUCUGACGGAGCAACGCCGCGUGAGUGAUGAAGGUUUUCGGAUCGUAAAGCUCUGUUGUUAGGGAAGAACAAGUGCGAGAGUA
rnacentral:rRNA from 1 species